AUGGACACAUUACAGAAUUACCACAACAAAAGCGUUGUGUCAAACAUGGAGAACAAACAAGCAAAUGACAAGAACAAGCUAAUCACUAUAUCAAAGAGGGUCUGUGAAAGCCAAAACAAUACAGGUCACAUAUAUUCAACUUACUAUGUACAAAAGAAACAAAAUCACAUCUUUUUAGAAUAA